rnacentral:tRNA from 1 species
CAGAGCGUAGUUUAACUAGUAGAACACUUCCCUUACACUGAAAAAGAGCCCGUGCAAAUCCAGCCGCCCUGA